rnacentral:rRNA from 1 species
UACGGAGGGGGCAAGCGUUGUUCGGAAUUAUUGGGCGUAAAGCGUAUGUAGGCGGCUAGAUAAGUCAGACGUGCAAGCCCGUGGCUCAACCACGGAAUUGCGUUUGAAACUGUUUAGCUUGAGUACAGGAGAGGAAAGCGGAAUUCCCAGUGUAGCGGUGAAAUGCAUUGAUAUUGGGAAGAACAUCUGUGGCGAAGGCGGCUUUCUGGUCUGUUACUGACGCUGAGAUACGAAAGCCAGGGUAGCGAACGGG